rnacentral:lncRNA from 1 species
AACAAGGACCCUCUCGACCUCUGGAAUCUUCUCCCCAGAGAAGUGGGCACGCUGCUUCUGGAUUCGCUUCCUGAGCCUCCCCGAGAGCAGUGUGAUCCAGCCCCAGUGGAUGCCAUCAGGGACCUGGAGCUGAGCCUCGGGAAUGCAAAGGAGAUAGCGAGACAAGGCCGGGGCUGCGGCAGGAAGCAGCUGGAAGCCCGGGGCCUACUCCCUAACGUGCGGCUCUGCUCACUCAGUCGGGGAGCGCGUGGUGUGGAGAAGCCAGCCUCAAGACUGAAGCCUGCCUCUGUCACCUUAGGCAGGUCCCUCUCCCUGUCAGACCUCAGUUUCCCUGUCUGCCCACUAGAGAGAGGACACCCCCAUCCUGCCAGCCUCCUAGAGAUAUUGGGAAGCCUGCAUGGGAGGGCACAGGCGGAAGCCUGGUGAAAUGAC